UACGUAGGGGGGCUAGCGUUGUCCGGAAUCAUUGGGCGUAAAGAGCGUGUAGGCGGUCCGGUAAGUCCGCUGUGAAAGUCGGGGGCUCAACCCUCGAAUGCCGGUGGAUACUGUCGGGCUAGAGUACGGAAGAGGCGAGUGGAAUUCCUGGUGUAGCGGUGAAAUGCGCAGAUAUCAGGAGGAACACCGAUUGCGAAGGCAGCUCGCUGGAACGUAACUGACGCUGAGACGCGAAAGCGUGGGGAGCAAACGGG
rnacentral:rRNA from 1 species